AAGAACACUUUCAGAGAAGAAUGCAUCUUAUAUCUGACUCCUGGACUAACCUGAGAAUAGUUUUGGCAACUUGUCCAUUCCUACUCCCGGUUUUCAACGUCCAUAAUGGCUGACAUGAGGGACUAAACCCUGAUUGACUUCUGGAAAUCAACCCUUCUCUGCUCUCAGUCCACAUAGUGUGAGUGCAACUGACCAUUCUUCCCUGAGGAGACAGAUCUGAGACCUACACACAACCAGAACAUUAUACACCCCUGGCUGCAAUGAAUGAUUUGGUCACAGGCAUGUGACACUGCCAGACCCUCUAGGGUGCCUAGAAGCUUUUUCUAAGACUUUUAGGCACCAGGCUCCCAAAGAAUUGAAGAUGGGCUCCGUAGUGCUCCAGAAAACAUCAUUUUCUCAGUCCUUGUUUUUGCCUACUGGACUUCCAUGGCUACUCAGUCUGCAGGGCCAUUAUGUUUAGGUUUCCAAGGAAUCAGCACUCUGGUCCUGCAGACUGGACCCAAACUGAGGCCGAAGACCACACAUUUGGCCGCUUGCCUCUUGCCUCAGCAACCCUCCCCCAGUUCAUGUAAAGAGAGUGGGUUAUGGUGACCCUUCAUGUUUUACAGAUCUAAUACAACUCACAGAUGCAUCAGCUUCAUUUGCCACUUUCAAUGAUGUGUUAAUACUUUAUCUCUCCCACCCUAACACAUCAUUCACCCAUUGUCCUCUUGAUAUAUUUUCAUUCUCUUUCCAACUUCUUCCAAUAACUGAAGAGGUUCUUAAAAGUGAACAUUUACCUGAACUUCCGCCCUAACAUACUUAGUUGAGCCGUAAAAUUCUGCCUAAAUAGGAUAAGAUAGAGAUGCCAAAAUUCUCAAUCUUAUAACCUUGGACCAGACUCUGAAUUUACUCUUGCAUUUUUAAUGCUCUGCAUUACUUGCUAUGAAGCAAUAAAUAGAAGGGAUGGAGUUAUUUAAGCAGUUUGUGAAAAUUUUGAUUUAAUGUGUGUUAUUAUAUUUCUUAUAGUUAACCAUAAAAAUUAGACUGUGGCAACUUUGGAAUUCCUCUAAAUUAACGACAAGCCGUUUGCAGAAGGGUAGGCUAAAAGACUUGUCUUGAAGCUGUGCUUGCAUUUUUGUGGGUAGCUAUGUGGGAAGUGAGCUGAUAGACAUUGUAUAGGGACUAACUCUCCCUACUUCCAUUCCCAAUCAUGUCUUAAUUUACAAUUGUCUCAUAAAGGAGGUUGCAAUUGCUGAAAGUAUUCAUUCUGAAAUUGAAAAAAAUACACUAAAAGACAUCUAAUUGUCUCCUGGGAUAAAGCUAUGGUUACCAUUAUUAAAAUCUCUCGAUAGCUGUGGAUUUGACAGAAACUUCCUAACAUUAUUUCAAUGACAUGAAGCU
ensembl:lncRNA